rnacentral:rRNA from 1 species
UACGGAGGAUGCAAGCGUUAUCCGGAAUGAUUGGGCGUAAAGCGUCCGCAGGUGGCAAUGUAAGUCUGCUGUCAAAGCGUCAGGCUCAACCAGAUAAAGGCAGUGGAAACUACAUAGCUAGAGUAAGGUAGGGGUAGAGGGAAUUCCUGGUGUAGCGGUGAAAUGCGUAGAGAUCAGGAAGAACACCGGUGGCGAAAGCGCUCUGCUGGACCUUAACUGACACUGAGGGACGAAAGCUAGGGGAGCGAAUGGG